AUAGUAAGCUUUUCAGGAAAACCCUCUUUCCCUCUGACAAAUAAUUUUCCAUUGAGGGUGAGUGCUAUUAAAUUGGAAGCUAUGGGAAUAAAAUACAGCCUCCCCUUUGCCUUAGGAACUCAUUAGCAGCAGUUCAACAGGACUGUUCAGGAAUAAUAAAAUCAGAAACUCAAGUGACAUUUGAUGUUCUGCCGGUCUUUGCACAGCAAUGCAUACUAUAGCGAUAGGAUAACAUACGUCAUGAUGCCACUUGGCUGAAGCAGAGCUUUAUUAGCUUUAUUGUAUGUUGUUGUAGCAUGGUGCAGAUACUAUAUUUCAUCAGCAGUGUUGACUAUCCUCAGAGGUGGUUCUUGAUAUAGAUGAGCCCCAACCGAUCAGACUCAGAUUCGUUAUUGUUACAUCUCAGUAUAUAGUAUACAGGUAAGAGAAAAUGUAAUAAGUCAUAGUUGUGGAGCUGUGCAGUAUUAUUUUUCAGUGCUAGAAGUUGAAUCAAUUAUAGGUGUAUAACUAAGCAUACGAGUCUGAGCGCCUGGGUAUGUGAGGUCCAGAGAUCUAGACUAGUGUGUGUAUAAUAGUGUAUAAUAAAGUAUAUAAUGGGGGGCACUGUGGCGCGAGCCAAUAAGCCCCCCAUUUACGGGCUACAAUGCCCGCGGGGACACGGGUUCGAUUCCGGCCUAUCGUUUCCCCACCUCUUCACUCCUCCUCUCUUCCUGUCCAAAGUAUUUCACUGUCCUAUCCAAAUAAGGGCAAAAAAUACUUCACUGUCCUAUCCAAAUAAGGGCUAAAAAUACUUUACUGUCCUAUCCAAAUAAAGGCUAAAAAUACUUCACUGUCCUAAUAAAGGCUAAAAAGCCAAUAAAUAAAUCUUAUAAAAAAUAAAGUGUAUAAUAAAGGUUCACAGAUGUUGUGGUCAGGAUUCCAGUGGGGGCACACAGAUAUGACUCCAUGAUGCUGGGCAUCUACUCUUCAGCAGACUGCCCUGCAGAUCCUAGGUCACAUCACGUUACUUGUACAUUACGUGUAGCUUACUGUACUGGAGGACUGUUAUUCAGGAAGUGAAACCAGCAGGUUAUAUUUUGGAAAGUGGCUACAGCAGGAACACAACAUACAUUUUCAUUAGACUGUUAAGGUUUUGCUGACAACAAUGUGGUGUACAUGUAUGGG
ensembl:lncRNA